AUCCUGUUUGAAAUAUCGUAGCCAAUGAGGUUUGUCCAUGGUGUGAUUAUUGCUAAUUGAAAACUUUCCCAAUACCCCACCCACCAUGAUGAUUUGCAGUAUAGUUUGCAUAGCAGUGUUUGACAGUCUCUAUAGAGA